GAUGAGAGUGGCUUUAAAGCCAAGAAAACAGGGGAAUGGUGAAUGGAGCAACUGGGAAGAAGAGUCACCAAAGUCGGGGAAUCAGGGAAGCCUUCCCCAAAGACGUGGCAUUUGAACUGGGGCCUGAGUGGUGAAGCAGCCAGCCAUGGGAAGGGUUUGGGGAACAGGAUAUGCAAAGGCCCUGUGGUGGAAACAAGCCAGCUGUGGUUGAGGAACAACAGCAAGGCAGCCAGUGUGGCUGGAGUGGAGUGAGCAGUGUGGGCCAGGGGUGAGGGAGAACAGGCCAGAGAGAGGGAUUAGGACCAGGUCUUGUAGGGCCUUUUAUGGCAUGGAAGGAGCUCUGAAGCAAUGAAGUGCCUUGCCGUGUGUCACAUACCAGCCGAGACAGUCUGCCUAACUCGGGAGCCAAAGCUUGCUGCUGGACUUGCCACUGUAAGAGGACAAUGUAACCCAGGCUGGUAUGGGCACAUUCUGCAUUUCCACUUAAACUCAGAUGGCAAGCCCAUCAAACCUUGGUGCCAUGGCUGCCCUGGUAAUUCCUGGCUGACCAGUGCAACCAGGGAGCUGGCCCAUGACCCGGGUGGCCGCCAAGUAGCCAGGACUAAUGCGGCCAAGAGUCAGCCUUCUUCCUGUGACUCAUCCAGGUGCACCCUGCGACAUCUGAAGGGCAGGCUUUCAGCCGCUGUGGCUUCCACUUCCAACUGGCUCCACGUCCCCAGGGAGGGAUCACAUAGCGCUUUGCCAACACAUUCUAUUGCGUGUUUUAAUGUUCCUGUGAAUGCGCCCUUGAGAUUUCUCUCUCCCGUCCACACGGAGCUUAGAAGCAAAAUUAAGAGACUCAUCAGAUUCUGAGCUGCUGCGGGAUAUUUUGCAGAAGCCCUCGGAAGGCUCGGUCACACUCUCCGAGCACAGCCAUCAUCUCCCACGGUACCACAGGCCUGGUCACAUGGGACGCUGCCCGCUACCUUGCAGAAUGGGCCAUCAAGAACCCGGCAGCCUUCACUAACAGUAACCUGAAGCUUUCACCGUAGACGUGCUGUAUUGCCCAGAAGCCAUCGUGUCGCUGGUCAGGGUCCUGCGGAGGCUGGCUGCCUGCUGGGAGCACCAGCGGGCUCCUGAGGUCUACAUGGCCUUUACCGUCCACAACCCAGAGACGUGCCAGCUGUUCACCACUGAGCUAGGCUGGGCUGGGAUCAGAUGGGAAGCGGAAGCUCAUCAUGACCAGAAACUGUUUCCCUAUGGAGAGCACUUGGAGAUGGCAAUGCUGAACCUCACACUGUAGGACUCAUACACGACUCCAAUGGGAUUGUUAGAAUCAAAUCACUCUCGUGGGAAGAAUUUUUAUAUGGGAAAGCGGAUAAAACUUUCAUUGGACUGGAAUGUUUGGAGAAUGUUAAAUUCCAAAUCAGGAACCACAAUCCACCCUCUAAUAAGACAUCGGCUAUCUAAGCGUGUGGGUGCCCCCUUUCUGCCAGCAGUUCUGGUUCUUAAGAAAAUCACCAUAAAUCAGACAUGAAAAUUCUGGCUCCAAAAGUAGCAUUUUUUUGUGCAAAUAAAAACGUGUGUAUCAAGUAUGACGUUCCCCCAACGUGGACACACUCGGUUCCUCACAAAGCCAAGCCCGCUGCAGCUGCCACAUCCCUGGACACACUCGGUUCCUCACAAAGCCAAGCCCGCUGCAGCUGCCACAUCCCUGGACACACUCGGUUCCUCACAAAGCCAAGCCCGCUGCAGCUGCCACAUCCCUGGGCUUAUGGUGCAGCGGGUGCUUUUUUCAAGACAGGAAUCAAAGUGUUAGGAACAUGGCAGAAAGGUGACACCUGGAGACCAAAUGCAGGAUGAGAAGUACUGCAGAGGUCACAGGGAAGUCACAGAACAGUAAUACGCUAGCAGGGACAUGGGGCGUGAAGAACAGAAGAAGACAGGAAGCAUUUCAGAGACUCCAAAGAAGAAAUCAGGGCCAACCACAGCUUCCCGGGUCAUUCACCAGGUGGCACCACUGCCGUCAUUUCAGCUUCUGGCCACUGGGAGGUGCUGCUGGAAAGGGUUUGCCCUGAGACUCCAAGAAGAAGCUGCGGGAAGGACAGCAGGGGCCCUGGGGUUUUAGCCUCUGGCCCAGGAGUUAUGUGUCCAUAACCAAAGGGAGCACAGUCUGCACCCAGCUCUCAUCCCAUCAGAGCUGCUGUGACUCCCGCAGGUUCUUCCAGAACUGGUUUAGCUUGCCUGCAGGAUCAGGAAAGUUUGAGAAAAGCAUCUGCAAAAUACUGAAGAGCAGAGCUUACCUCAUUGCCUGUCCCCACCCCAUUCCAGGUCACCACCUGGAUGACCCCAGCUCCCCAACCCAACAACAACCCCUCCCAAGUCCCUAACUCCCUCACUUGGACUUGAGACCCUUCACACCCCAGCAGCGCUCCGCCUCCAUCUUGACAUCAUGCUUUCUGGAAACUUCCCCGUAUGUCCCACUUUCCCACACUUGGUGCCCUGGAGCACCUUCCGGCCUCUACAUGAUGUACGUUCCCCUGUGAGCACCCUCCUCUCGGCCUCUGGCCAACACAGUCCCACCCAUCUGUGGGUAACAAGGGGGUGUUCUUUUCAGCCUUGCUAAACUGUCUGAAUCAAGGAUCACAAACUACAGCCUGCAGGCCAAAUCCAGCCCACAGCCUGUGUUUGUAAAUAAAGCUUUAUUGGAACAAAGCCACACCCCUUAAUCUACAGAUGAUCUGUGGCUACUUUCACACCACAACAGAGUACCAUGGUUCUGACAGAGACUGGGGGACCCAGUCUAAAUGACUUCUGACCUGGACCUUUACUGAAAAUCCUCCCAAUCAUUCUGUUGACAAGAAUGAUGUAUUACUUUUUGCAAUAAGAAACAAGUAACCUUUGCAGAAUUCCAC
rnacentral:lncRNA from 1 species